rnacentral:misc_RNA from 1 species
GGGGGGGGGGGGGGGGGGGGGGGCGCCGGCGGGGCGCGACCCUCCCUUGCUUAGAAGAGCAAAGGAGGACCACCUUGUGUGGCAGAUGAGGGAUCUAGAACAUUAGAGUAGAAGAAGAAAAAUAGAGAAAGACCAUCUUGUGUGACAGAUGAGCAUUAUUAUUAUUAUUAAAUAUUUUUUUAUCCGAGAAAAAAUGAGGGAAAAAAUGAGAGCUCCCUUUGCUUAGAAGAGCAAAGGAGGACCACCUUGUGUGGCAGAUGAGGGAUCUAGAACAUUAGAGUAGAAGAAGAAAAAUAGAGAAAGACCAUCUUGUGUGACAGAUGAGCAUUAUUAUUAUUAUUAAAUAUUUUUUUAUCCGAGAAAAAAUGAGGGAAAAAAUGAGAGCUCCCU